rnacentral:rRNA from 1 species
GACAGAGGUGCCAAGCGUUAGGCGGAAUCACUGGGCUUAAAGGGCGCGUAGGCGGGUCGGCAAGUCUGCGGUGAAAGCCCCCAGCUUAACUGGGGAAGUGCCGUGGAUACUGCCGGUCUUGAGGAGGGUAGGGGCAUCUGGAACAUUGGGUGGAGCGGUGAAAUGCGUUGAUAUCCAAUGGAACUCCGGUGGCGAAGGCGAGGUGCUGGACCCUUUCUGACGCUGAGGCGCGAAAGCCAGGGGAGCAAACGGG